AGAGAAAUGGCUGAGGUGCAAGCGAUAAAUUGUAAAUUUAUUUACGAAAGAAGAUUUCUUUCUCUAG
rnacentral:tRNA from 1 species